GAGGCUGUCCAAGUAAAUAUCAGGCAAAUCCUAUGAUAUGAUUGGCACAACAUAAUUUUUUCCCACUGAAUUUUUGGUUCCAAUGCAAUGUUUAUAUCAUACAAAGGAUAUAUAUGUCAAAUAUAUUUUUGAAUCAACAGUGGAUGGCUCAGAAAAUGAUUUUAAAGUUCACUAUCAAUGCAACAAAAUUUUGUACAAAUUGAAGAGUU
rnacentral:lncRNA from 1 species